rnacentral:rRNA from 1 species
UACGUAGGGGGCAAGCGUUGUCCGGAAUUAUUGGGCGUAAAGAGCUCGUAGGCGGUUUGUCGCGUCUGCUGUGAAAACUCGGGGCUUAACUCCGGGCCUGCAGUGGGUACGGGCAGACUAGAGUGCGGUAAGGGAGACUGGAAUUCCUGGUGUAGCGGUGAAAUGCGCAGAUAUCAGGAGGAACACCGGUGGCGAAGGCGGGUCUCUGGGCCGAUACUGACGCUGAGGAGCGAAAGCAUGGGGAGCGAACAGG